GACUUAAAAUCCGUCGAUUUUUUAAAUCAUGAG
rnacentral:tRNA from 2 species